AGUUUGUGAUGAGUGUGUAUUGACUGUUGAACAUGAAUUACCACCCUCAUUUUAAGGCAGAAGAGGAAGAAGUUAUAAACCUCUGAACCUCUGGUUGCUGAGUUCUGAGCAGAAUCAGAAGCUCCUGCUCUUCCCACGGUGCUGAGGAACUUGCCACCGCACACCUGGCAUCGGAGCUACAUCUUGGGGUGAAAAAUACUCCCAGAAUCCACAUACCACAUCAGAGGGACUUGGAACUACCCUGCCUGUGUGGUUUGUUACCCACUAACUGUUAACAUUGAUUAGAACACGGGAAUUGGACUUUCUCCAAUUGUCACCCCCAGGAUUCUCACAAGCCGGAUGUAUACUAAGUAAAAUGACCUUCUUAAUUAGGGGAAAACUAUCCAAGUAGGUGGCAGAGGGAAGCACACAACCAAAGUGGCAUCCAAUCUGAUACAGCAGAUGAAAAUUCCCCUUUGUCAUCUGAGAAUUGUUAUCUGCUUUCCCAAGACAUUAUUUCUACAAACUCUGAACCUGAAAAUCCACUGAAACAAAAGCAAGUGAAUAACGGAGACUUAAUCUCGUAAGAGAAGGGAAAUGAAAAACU